AGAAUCAGGAAUUCACAAGAGAGGCUAAGGGAGGAGACUGUAGAAUGAUUACCACGGUCCAAUACCAAGCACUGUGGAAGAUUUUGGAAUGGAAGACGAACAUUUCAUCUGAGUCAUCAUACAAUAUUUUCCCAUGAAUACUGUGAUGGAUUGGAAACAGCUAAAAAAAUGGAAGUUUUAAAAACAGAGACCAGACCAGCAGCAUCUUAAUAUCAUGGAUGUGAUGCCCCCUAAACAAACACUUUUGAAGGAGCAACACCUGAUGUAUAAACAACAGACAGCUCAAAAUGAUCGGGUCCAAUCCAAAAUGGGAUGAAAUAUUUGUUAAGUGUUAAGUCCAUCAAGAAAUAAAAAAUGUUACACGUUCCAGUGAAAAUAAAAAAUCAAUUUGAAGA